GCUGGGCGUGGUGGUGCACACUUGUAAUCCCAGUGGCUCGGGAGGCUGAGGCAGGAGGAUCAUGAGUUCCAAGCCAGCCUCAGCAAAAGUGAGGAGCUAAGCAACUCAUCGAGACCCUGUCUCUA
rnacentral:sRNA from 1 species